AACGAACGCUGGCGGCAUGCCUAACACAUGCAAGUCGAACGAAGCCUUCGGGCUUAGUGGCGCACGGGUGCGUAACGCGUGGGAAUCUGCCCUUGGGUUCGGAAUAACAGUUAGAAAUGACUGCUAAUACCGAAUGAUGUCUUCGGACCAAAGAUUUAUCGCCCAAGGAUGAGCCCGCGUCGGAUUAGCUAGUUGGUGAGGUAAAGGCUCACCAAGGCGACGAUCCGUAGCUGGUCUGAGAGGAUGAUCAGCCACACUGGGACUGAGACACGGCCCAGACUCCUACGGGAGGCAGCAGUGGGGAAUAUUGGACAAUGGCGAAAGCCUGAUCCAGCAAUGCCGCGUGAGUGAUGAAGGCCUUAGGGUUGUAAAGCUCUUUUACCCGGGAUGAUAAUGACAGUACCGGGAGAAUAAGCCCCGGCUAAACUCCGUGCCAGCAG
rnacentral:rRNA from 1 species